AUAAAAAGCACCUUUGCUGCUAUUUCAAUUUUGCAUAAUCAUAUUUUGCCCUAUUUUGUACAAUUUAUAUGAUUCAUAGCAAUAUGUUAACAUUGUAUGCAUUUUAAACCUUUCAUACUUAGUCAUUUUAAGUCACCUUUACUGUAUCUGCAACUAAAUCUACAAUGAUAUUAAUGUUUAAUGGUAAAAUUGAUCUAUUUCUGGCAAGAAAGUGAUGUAACGUGAUAAACUCGCUGCCUAUAUUAGAAUAAAAGUGCCAUGAUAUCAUAUAACUAUGGAAUUAUAUUUUGAUCUUUUGCUCACCCGGUGUGUAACUGGAUCAGAAGUCAUCAAAUAUAUAUUUAAAACAUAAUAAUAGAACAAAAGAUAAAAGAAAUACAUUAUUCUCUACAUGCAUUCUUUUAAACAUUCAAAUUACUACUAAAAUAAACAAUAGAAAUAAGAUUUCAAGGUCAAAUUAAAACCAGUCCUCUUUUUUUAAUUUCUCUCAUUGAAGCAUGCAUUACAUCUUAUUAGAAUUAAAAAAUAACUGUAAAUGUCCAUUUUAAAAAGGGCCAACAUGUUUACCAAUGUUUGAAAGGGACCAAUGGUGGUUGGAGUUGGCUAAGUUAGUUUCCGAGAUGUUAAAAAUGUUUCAGCCCAUAAGUUGCUCUUGUUUAAGGAUAAUGGGCAGAGCUGUCAAAUAUGUAUCUAGAUAGGAAAACCAGAGAGCUGUUCUAAUGGUUUAAUUAAUUUAAUCAAUUAUUUCAAGCAAUUUUAAAACUUGCUUAGACAUUUUUCAGGCAUGACUUUAAAAGGACAUUUGGAAAUAACCAUUCCUCAAAAUUCUGGAUUCAGUUCAUUAUGUCAUUUUAUCUAACAUGUAAAUAUGCCUCAAUUCAAUAUAUACUUUUAUCUCCAUAUUGAAAUAGAUUCAUCACCAUGCCUCCUGGAUAAAGAUCUGAAGCAAUCAAAGGGCAUAAUACAAAAAUUUAGUUCUUUGGACCAAUUAUUGCAGCUGAGUUUUAAUAAAAUAUGACAAGUAAUUGCAAUAGCUCUCCUCAGCUCUUCAAUCUUAGUGAGUUAAAAGUAUAUAUAGAAACAGUACCAGUACAUACAUAAAAACUUAGCAAAACAAAAAUAUUUGCGUAGAUGUUUUAAACAUAUCUUAUCUACAGAAAGUCAAAACUUUAUCAUUGACCGAUAGGAUUUAUGAAAUAGAUCAUCUCUUACUAGACUUGCUUUCUGACCUCUUCAUU
rnacentral:lncRNA from 1 species